rnacentral:rRNA from 1 species
UCUUUAAGGUUAACAUUAGCAGCUAAUAGCUUGAAUAAUCAAUUUGGCUGAAAACAAAACAUUACCAAAUUUAGUAAAGGUGAUUGAAACUUAAUAUUUCUGCAUGGGUUUAGUACUGUGAAGGAAAACAUAAAACUGGAAACUAGAAAUAAUUAAAAUUUGUACCUUUUGUAUCAUGGUUUAACUAGAUUAAUACCUGAAUAGGGGUUCUCGAAACCCAAUGAGCUAUCUUUAUUCCGUUUUAUAGAUCAGAGUAUGAGUUAGUUGUGGCAAAAACUUCUCAAGAAAUAAAGAUAGAUAUGAAAUUUUAUCCGCAUUGGGUGAUAGCUAGUUCUUUUCUAAAGGCAUAUUAGUGCCCUAAAUCAUAGGGUUUGCAAUAUAAACGGGAUUUAUAGUUGUUUAUAUUGAUUUAGUUAGAUUUUUGAGGAUAAGCUCGAAAAUGACCUAUAAUUGCAUUCAAUUUUUUUCAAAAUAUAAGCUUAGUAAUGGCUAUUGAUAUCGGAUUUUGUUAUAAUUCAUUCUUUUAGAAAUAAUAUAAUUUAUCUGCUUAAUAAUUACAGAAAAGAAGCUUUAAUAAUUUCCAAACAAAAUGUUUUUAUGUUAAAAUGAGUAUUAAAUGAGUUAUUCAAUAAGCUAGCGAAUUAAAGUUUAGAUCUAUGUAAGCGAGUUUGAAAAUAAAAUCGUAAAAAGGAACUCGGCAAAGCCGUAUUCUGCCUGUUUAUCAAAAACAUGGCUUCGUGUAAUCAUCAAAAUGCGAAGUCGGACCUGCCCAGUGAAGUUUAAACGGCCGCGGUACUCUGACCGUGCAAAGGUAGCAUAAUCAUUUGCCUUAUAAUUGAAGGCUGGAAUGAAUGGUUUGACAAGAAUACACCUGUCUCUUUUAGAUUAUUUAGAAUUUUAUCUUUGGGCGAAAAAGCCCAGAUAUUAUUAAAAGACAAGAAGACCCUAUCGAGCUUCAGAAAAAUUAAUGGAGUAGUUAUGUUUAAUAUUAACUAAAAAAAAAGCUAUUAAAUACUUUGGUUGGGGCAACCGAGGAGUAGACAAAGCCUCCCUUGAAUAAGAAGUCUUACUUGAGAGGAUCCAAGAAUUUUGAUCAAAGGAAUUAGUUACCGUAGGGAUAACAGCAUUAUCUUUUUUGAGAGCCCAUAUCGAAAAAAAGGUUUGUGACCUCGAUGUUGGACCAGAAUAUCCUAAAGAUGCAGAAGUCUUUGAGGGUUGGUCUGUUCGACCAUUAAAAUUCUACGUGAUCUGAGUUCAGACCGGCGUGAGCCAGGUCAGUUUCUAUCUUUAUAUUUUUUGGUUACGUUUAGUACGAAAGGACCAAUGUAACAUAUUAGAUAUUUUACUUAGAUUAAGUAUAAUUUAGCUUUAAA